UACGGGGGGGGCAAGCGUUGUUCGGAAUUACUGGGCGUAAAGGGCUCGUAGGUGGCCAACUAAGUCAGACGUGAAAUCCCUCGGCUUAACCGGGGAACUGCGUCUGAUACUGGAUGGCUUGAGUUUGGGAGAGGGAUGCGGAAUUCCAGGUGUAGCGGUGAAAUGCGUAGAUAUCUGGGGGAACACCGGUGGCGAAGGCGGCAUCCUGGACCAACACUGACACUGAGGAGCGAAAGCCAGGGGAGCAAACGGG
rnacentral:rRNA from 1 species